rnacentral:rRNA from 1 species
UACGACUACAUAUCAGGCAUAUCAAUAAGCGGAGGAAAAGAAACUAACAAGGAUUCCCUUAGUAACGGCGAGUGAAGCGGGAAGAGCUCAAAUUUGAAAUCUUCAAGGUUCUACCUUGACGAAUUGUAGUUUAAAGAAGUGUUUUCUGUUAGAUGAGUAGCAAAAGUUCCUUGGAAUGGGACAUCAUAGAGGGUGAGAAUCCCGUAUUUGGUUAUUCAUUCUAGCUUUGUGAUACACUUUCAAAGAGUCGGAUUGUUUGGGAAUGCAGUCCAAAAUGGGUGGUAAAUUUCAUCUAAAGCUAAAUAUUGGCGAGAGACCGAUAGCGAACAAGUACUGUGAGGGAAAGAUGAAAAGAACUUUGAAAAGAGAGUUAAACAGUACGUGAAAUUGUCAAAAGGGAAGCGUUUGACACCAGUGUUGUUUUUCCGAAAAUCAAUUACGAAUGGCUUGAUUUUGUGUUGUAUUGACCUUAUCAGCUUUCUUCACUUUUUUCGAGUCUUUCUUAAUGCACUUUUCGGUUAACAAGUCAACAUCAAUUUCUUUUGUUGUAAAAGAGUAUUCGGAAGGUGGCUUUCUUUUCGGAGAAAGUGUUUAUAGCCCUAUACUUCUACAAUCGGAGAGAUUGAGGUCUGCAGCGUAGAUCCUUCGGGGUUAGAUACACUUGUGCUAAGUUGUAGCUUUUCAUAGACAACUUGUUGACUAUGUUUAGUCAUGCGGCUUACUCGCUUGUGCUAUUUUACCUACGCUUAGGAUGUUGAAUAGCGACAUACGCAC